AGUGGGGAAUCUUGGACAAUGGGCGCAAGCCUGAUCCAGCCAUGCCGCGUGAGCGAUGAAGGCCUUCGGGUUGUAAAGCUCUUUCGUGGGGGAAGAUAAUGACUGUACCCCAAGAAGAAGCCCCGGCUAACUCCGUGCCAGCAGCCGCGGUAAUACGGAGGGGGCUAGCGUUGUUCGGAAUUACUGGGCGUAAAGCGCACGUAGGCGGACCAGAAAGUCAGGGGUGAAAUCCCGGGGCUCAACCCCGGAACUGCCUUUGAAACUCCUGUUCUUGAGGUCGAGAGAGGUGAGUGGAAUUCCGAGUGUAGAGGUGAAAUUCGUAGAUAUUCGGAGGAACACCAGUGGCGAAGGCGGCUCACUGGCUCGAUACUGACGCUGAGGUGCGAAAGCGUGGGGAGCAAA
rnacentral:rRNA from 1 species